rnacentral:rRNA from 1 species
AGAAUCAGGGUUUGAUUCCGGAGAAGGAGCCUGAGAAACGGCUACUACUUCCAAGGAAGGCAGCAGGCGCGCAAAUUACCCAAUCCCGACACGGGGAGGUAGUGACAAAAAAUAACAAUACCGGUCUUAUUUAAGUCUGGUAAUUGGAAUGAGUACAAUCUAAAACCUUUAACGAGUAUCAAUUGGAGGGCAAGUCUGGUGCCAGCAGCCGCGGUAACUCCAGCUCCAAUAGCAUAUAUUAAAGUUGUUGCAGUUAAAAAGCUCGUAGUUGGAUUUUGAUGUUACUUUUCAUAACCUGCCUUGUAUAAGGUAUGUUUGUUGUGAUUAGUUCAUCUCCUUACUAGACUUUCAUGAUUACACUUAAUUGAGUGAUCAUUUCAUUCUGAUUUAUUGGGGUGAGUGAUGAGUAGACCUACUGGGUUUGAGAUUGUGGAUGAACUUCUUCGGAGGUUGGUUCUGCUUGAAUUCAGUAACUAUUUAUUAGAAAUCUAGUUCAUUUACUUUGAGUAAAUUAGAGUGUUCAAGGCAAGCAAAUUUGUUUCUGCAAUGAAUACUAUUAGCAUGGGAUAAUGGAACAGGACACGUAUUCUAGUUUUCCGUUGGUUUCUAGAAUUUUUAGUCGCUCCUUGGAGUGGCGAAGUGUAAUGAUUAAAAGGGACAGUUGGGGGCAUUCGUAUUUCAUUGUCAGAGGUGAAAUUCUUGGAUUUAUGAAAGACGAACUUCUGCGAAAGCAUUUGUCAAAGAUGUUUUCAUUAAUCAAGAACGAAAGUUAGGGGAUCGAAGACGAUCAGAUACCGUCGUAGUCUUAACCAUAAACUAUGCCGACCAGGGAUUGGAAGAUGUAUUAUCCUAUUUUAACGUAGGAAAACUCCUUCAGCACCUUACGAGAGAUCAUAAGUCUUUGGGUUCUGGGGGGAGUAUGGUCGCAAGGCUGAAACUUAAAGGAAUUGACGGAAGGGCACCACCAGGAGUGGAGCCUGCGGCUUAAUUUGACCCAACACGGGAAAACUCACCAGGUCCAGACACAGUUAGGAUUGACGGAUUGAGAGCUCUUUCUUGAUUCUGUGGGUGGUGGUGCAUGGCCGUUCUUAGUUGGUGGAGUGAUUUGUCUGGUUAAUUCCGAUAACGAACGAGACCUCAGCCUGCUAAUUAGUGAUGCAAAUGAUUACAUCCGUAAGGAGAGGGUUUCUGUUAAAGCUUUGGGUUUGACUUGGAGAUUUA